rnacentral:rRNA from 1 species
CACCUGUUUAUCAAAAACAUGGUUUUAUGAUUAUAUUUUAAGAUUUAUUCUGCUCAAUGAUAGUAUAUUAAUUAUUAAAUAGCCGCAGUAUUUUGACUGUGCAAAGGUAGCAUAAUCAAUUGUCUUUUAAUUAAAGACUGGGAUGAAGGAAUGAAUGAAAUUUAAACUGUCUAUAAUAAAAAAUUAAAAUUUAAAUUUUAAGUUAAAAUGCUUAAAUGAAAUUAUGGGACGAGAAGACCCUAUAGAAUUUUAUAUAAAUUUUUAAAUUAAAUAUAUGAGUAAAAAAAAUUAAAUUUAGAAUUAUAUUUUAUUGGGAGGAUAAUUAAAUUAAUUUAACUUUAUUAAUUAAUUAUAAUAUAUAUAUAUAUAUAUAUAUAUAUAUAUAUAUAUAUAUAUAUAUUGAGACAUUAAUUUAUGAAAAAAUGAAUAAAUUUUUUAUUGAAUUUAUAUUAGAAUUAAUUACCUUAGGGAUAACAGCGUUAUAUUUUUUAAAAGAUCAUAUUAAGAAAAAUGUUUGCGACCUCGAUGUUGAAUUAAAGUAAAAAUUAAAUGAAGAAGUUUAAUAUUUUAGUCUGUUCGACUAUUAAAAUUUUACAUGAUUUGAGUUCAAAUCGACG